rnacentral:rRNA from 1 species
UGGGGAAUCUUCCGCAAUGGACGAAAGUCUGACGGAGCAACGCCGCGUGAGUGAUGACGGCCUUCGGGUUGUAAAGCUCUGUUAAUCGGGACGAAAGGCCUUCUUGCGAAUAGUGAGAAGGAUUGACGGUACCGGAAUAGAAAGCCACGGCUAACUACGUGCCAGCAGCCGCGGUAAU